GUCGAACGGCAGCGGGCCCUUCGGGGUGCCGGCGAGUGGCGAACGGGUGAGUAAUGCAUCGGAACGUACCCGGGAGUGGGGGAUAACCGGCCGAAAGGCUGGCUAAUACCGCAUGAUCUCGGAAGAGCAAAGCGGGGGACCUUCGGGCCUCGCGCUCUCGGAGCGGCCGAUGUCCGAUUAGCUAGUUGGUGAGGUAAAGGCUCACCAAGGCGACGAUCGGUAGCGGGUCUGAGAGGACGAUCCGCCACACUGGGACUGAGACACGGCCCAGACUCCUACGGGAGGCAGCAGUGGGGAAUCUUGGACAAUGGGCGCAAGCCUGAUCCAGCAAUGCCGCGUGGGUGAAGAAGGCCUUCGGGUUGUAAAGCCCUUUCGGUGGGGAAGAAAUCGGCCGGGCGAAUAGUCCGGUCGGAUGACGGUACCCGCAGAAGAAGCACCGGCUAACUACGUGCCAGCAGCCGCGGUAAUACGUAGGGUGCGAGCGUUAAUCGGAAUUACUGGGCGUAAAGGGUGCGCAGGCGGUUCUGUAAGACCGGUGUGAAAUCCCCGGGCUCAACCUGGGAAUUGCGCUGGUGACUGCAGGGCUAGAGUACGGUAGAGGGGGGUGGAAUUCCUGGUGUAGCAGUGAAAUGCGUAGAGAUCAGGAGGAACACCGAUGGCGAAGGCAGCCCCCUGGGCCUGUACUGACGCUCAUGCACGAAAGCGUG
rnacentral:rRNA from 1 species